rnacentral:rRNA from 1 species
GAUUAACGCUGGCGGCGUGCAUAACACAUGCAAGUCGAACGAAGUGGCGGACGGGUGAGUAAAGCGUGAGUAACCUGCCUUAGAGAAGGGGAUAGCCAUUGGAAACGAAGAAUAAUACCCUAUGCUCUAAGAUGGGCUUGCGUCUGAUUAGUUAGUUGGUGAGGUAACGGCACAACAAUACAACGAGCAGUAGCCGGCUUGAGAGAGUGUACGGCCACAUUGGGACUGAGGCACGGCCCAGACUCUACGGGAGGCAGCAGUGGGGAAUUUUGCACAAUGGUGGAAACCCUGAUGCAGCGACGCCGCGUGAUUUAGAAGUCCUUCGGGUUGUAAAAAUCUUUUCUAUGGGAAGCAGUACCAUAGUAAUAAGGCCCGGCUAAUUACGUGCCAGCAGCCGCGGUAAUAC